GCAUAUCAAUAAGCGGAGGAAAAGAAACUAACAAGGAUUCCCCUAGUAACUGCGAGUGAAGCGGGAAAAGCUCAAAUUUAAAAUCUGUCAGUCUUUGGCUGUCCGAGUUGUAAUCUAGAGAAGUGUUAUCCGCGCUGGACCGUGUACAAGUCUCCUGGAAUGGAGCGUCAUAGAGGGUGAGAAUCCCGUCUUUGACACGGACUGCCAGGGCUUUGUGAUGCGCUCUCAAAGAGUCGAGUUGUUUGGGAAUGCAGCUCAAAAUGGGUGGUAAAUUCCAUCUAAAGCUAAAUAUUGGCGAGAGACCGAUAGCGAACAAGUACCGUGAGGGAAAGAUGAAAAGAACUUUGGAAAGAGAGUUAAACAGUACGUGAAAUUGCUGAAAGGGAAACGCUUGAAGUCAGUCGCGUUGUUCAGGGAUCAACCUUGCUUUUGCUUGGUGUAUUCUCUGGUUGACGGGUCAGCAUCAAUUUUGACUAUUGGAAAAAGAUUAAGGGAAUGUGGCAUCCUYGGAUGUGUUAUAGCCCUUGGUUGCAUACAAUGGUUGGGAUUGAGGAACUCAGCACGCCGAAAGGCCGGGUUUUAACCACGUACGUGCUUAGGAUGCUGGCAUAAUGGCUUUAAUCGACCCGUCUUGAAACACGGACCAAGGAGUCUAACAUGCCUGCGAGUGUUUGGGUGGAAAACCCGAGCGCGUAAUGAAAGUGAAAGUUGAGAUCCUUGUCAUGGGGAGCAUCGACGCCCGGACCAGACCUUUUGUGACGGUUCCGCGGUAGAGCAUGUAUGUUGGGACCCGAAAGAUGGUGAACUAUGCCUGAAUAGGGUGAAGCCAGAGGAAACUCUGGUGGAGGCUCGUAGCGAUUCUGACGUGCAAAUCGAUCGUCAAAUUUGGGUAUAGGGGCGAAAGACUAAUCGAACCAUCUAGUAGCUGGUUCCUG
rnacentral:rRNA from 1 species